GGAAGCGUGCCUGAAAAUAAAGGGCCACUUUGAUAGAGUGGAUUAUGAAGGUUAGAAUCCUCCCACUUCCU
rnacentral:tRNA from 1 species